rnacentral:rRNA from 1 species
UACGAUGGAGGUGCAGACGUCGAUUGAAUUGAAUCUGGGCGUAAAGCGUGCGCAGGCGGUUUCACAAGCUCGAUGUGAAAGCCCCGGGCUUAACCUGGGAAUGGCAUUGAGGACUGUGGAGCUCGAGUGCGGCAGAGGGAGGUGGAAUUCCACGUGUAGCAGUGAAAUGCGUAGAGAUGUGGAGGAACACCGAUGGCGAAGGCAGCCUCCUGGGCCGACACUGACGCUCAUGCACGAAAGCGUGGGGAGCAAACAGG